UUUUAGUAGAAAACCAGAAGUUAGGCAAUGUGACUCCUGUUCUUAUCUCAAAACUGCAGUAGACACUCAAGAAUCAUAAAGUGCUGGUGUGCCAGCCGUCAUAUGGACACCGGAGAAGUGGCUGAGUUGAAAACGGGACUUAGGAGUGUGUGUUCAUGGAGCAUCGUCGAAAGCUUGGCCCUGUGUUAGGCAUUCGGGACACGAUCCUGGCCAGUUCCUCCUCAGACAGAGACUCCCCAGCAGAGGCGCUGGAGGCCAAGGAGGGUGAUCUGGAGGAGAGCCAGGGUAGAGCAGAGUGAAAAGGAGGCGUGUGUGGGAUCAGAGGAGCCCAUAGUCAGACAGGUGGGCUGUGCACCAGACACUCGCAGCUCUGACCACCCUAGCAGGCCUGCGCCUGCUCAGAACCCCUCAGUGACUCCCGCCUCCUGUAGAAGAGGCCUGCAGCUCUGUCCUGUAGCUCAAGGCACUGGGAGGAAGGCCUCCCCAAAUUCUACUUCUCCGAGUCCUCCCCACAUACCAGACUCUAGCACCGUGCUGUCCAAUAGAAAUACAAUGUGUGCCACAUACUGUAAUUUUAAAUUUGUUAGUAGCCCCAUUAAAGUGCUAAAAGGAAAUGGGUAAAAUUAACUUUUAAUAAUGCCUUUCAUUUAAUCCAAUAUAUUAAAAAUUAUAAUUUCAAUAUGUAAUCAAUAUAAAAAUUAUUAAUGAGAUAUUUUCCAUUCUUUUUGUAUUGUCUUCAAAGUUUGGUGUUCGUUUUGCGCUCACAGUGCCUGUCAAUUCAGACAUUAAAUUUUCAUUAAACAUA